rnacentral:rRNA from 1 species
UACGUAGGGCGCAAGCGUUAUCCGGAAUUACUGGGCGUAAAGCGCACGUAGGCGGCUUUGUAAGUCAGAGGUGAAAUCCCCGGGGGCUCAACCCCCGGAACUGCCUUUGAGACUGCAUCGCUUGAAUCCAGGAGAGGUGAGUGGAAUUCCGAGUGUAGAGGUGAAAAUUCGUAGAUAUUCGGAAGAACACCAGUGGCGAAGGGCGGCUCACU